rnacentral:rRNA from 1 species
UAGGGAAUCUUCGGCAAUGGACGAAAGUCUGACCGAGCAACGCCGCGUGAGUGAAGAAGGUUUUCGGAUCGUAAAACUCUGUUGUUAGAGAAGAACAAGGACGUUAGUAACCGAACGUCCCCUGACGGUAUCUAACCAGAAAGCCACGGCUAACUACGUGCCAGCAGCCGCGGUAAUACGUAGGUGGCAAGCGUUUUCCGGAUUUAUUGGGCGUAAAGCGAGCGCAGGCGGUUUCUUAAGUCUGAUGUGAAAGCCCCCGGCUCAACCGGAAAGGGUCAUUGGAAACUGGGAGUCUUGAGUGCAAAAGAGGAGAGUGGAAUUCCAUGUGUAGCGGUGAAAUGCGUAGAUAUAUGGAGGAACACCAGUGGCGAAGGCGGCUCUCUGGUCUGUAACUGACGCUGAGGCUCGAAAGCGUGGGGAGCAAACAGG